CCUUUGGAGUGUUACAGCAAACGAAAGUAGUAUAUCCUUUGGGAUUACAAAAUCGGACACAUUGAAAAAGGAA
rnacentral:ncRNA from 1 species